rnacentral:rRNA from 1 species
GGCGUGCUAUACAUGCAAGUCGAGCGGACAGAAGGGAGCUUGCUCCCGGAUGUUAGCGGCGGACGGGUGAGUAACACGUGGGUAACCUGCCUGUAAGACUGGGAUAACUCCGGGAAACCGGAGCUAAUACCGGAUAGUUCCUUGAACCGCAUGGUUCAAGGAUGAAAGACGGUUUCGGCUGUCACUUACAGAUGGACCCGCGGCGCAUUAGCUAGUUGGUGGGGUAAUGGCUCACCAAGGCGACGAUGCGUAGCCGACCUGAGAGGGUGAUCGGCCACACUGGGACUGAGACACGGCCCAGACUCCUACGGGAGGCAGCAGUAGGGAAUCUUCCGCAAUGGACGAAAGUCUGACGGAGCAACGCCGCGUGAGUGAUGAAGGUUUUCGGAUCGUAAAGCUCUGUUGUUAGGGAAGAACAAGUGCGAGAGUAACUGCUCGCACCUUGACGGUACCUAACCAGAAAGCCACGGCUAACUACGUGCCAGCAGCCGCGGUAAUACGUAGGUGGCAAGCGUUGUCCGGAAUUAUUGGGCGUAAAGGGCUCGCAGGCGGUUUCUUAAGUCUGAUGUGAAAGCCCCCGGCUCAACCGGGGAGGGUCAUUGGAAACUGGGAAACUUGAGUGCAGAAGAGGAGAGUGGAAUUCCACGUGUAGCGGUGAAAUGCGUAGAGAUGUGGAGGAACACCAGUGGCGAAGGCGACUCUCUGGUCUGUAACUGACGCUGAGGAGCGAAAGCGUGGGGAGCGAACAGGAUUAGAUACCCUGGUAGUCCACGCCGUAAACGAUGAGUGCUAAGUGUUAGGGGGUUUCCGCCCCUUAGUGCUGCAGCUAACGCAUUAAGCACUCCGCCUGGGGAGUACGGUCGCAAGACUGAAACUCAAAGGAAUUGACGGGGGCCCGCACAAGCGGUGGAGCAUGUGGUUUAAUUCGAAGCAACGCGAAGAACCUUACCAGGUCUUGACAUCCUCUGACAACCCUAGAGAUAGGGCUUUCCCUUCGGGGACAGAGUGACAGGUGGUGCAUG